GCCUCUGUCCCGGCCCCGCCUCUCGGGCUGUAGCGGCCUCCUGCCCGAGCUUGGGAGCUACUGCCUCGCGGAUGCCCACCAGCCAUGGGGCUGUCGGAAGCGCAGGGAGAGAGGGACACGCAGGCACUGCUGUCCAGGACACAGGCCAUGGAGCUGAGGCAGCGAGACUACCAUGUGGAUCGGCCACUGCUGAACCAAGAACAGCUGGAGGAGCUGGGGAGCCGGAGCCCAGCACCAGUGACGCUCCAGUGGCGAACCUGGUUUCGGUGCUCCCGUGCGCGGGCCCAAGCCCUUCUGCUUCAGUACCUCCCGGUUUUGGCCUGGCUCCCCCAGUAUUCUGUGCGUGACUGGCUUCUGGGUGACUUGUUGUCUGGCCUGAGUGUGGCCAUUAUGCAGCUACCACAGGGCCUGGCCUAUGCCCUCCUGGCUGGACUGCCCCCCGUGUAUGGCCUCUACAGCUCCUUCUAUCCUGUCUUUGUUUAUUUCCUGUUUGGCACUUCCCGGCACAUCUCUGUGGGCACCUUUGCCGUCAUGUCCGUGAUGGUGGGCAGUGUGAUGGAAUCGCUGGCUCCGGACGACGCCUUCCUGCUGGGCUUGAACUCCACAGUCAACGUGACAGCCAGGGACGACACCCGGGUGCAGCUGGCCUCCACUCUCAGUGUCCUCGUGGGCCUCUUCCAGGUGGGGCUGGGCAUGGUCCACUUCGGCUUCGUGGUCACCUACCUAUCAGAGCCUCUGGUCCGAGCCUACACCACGGCCGCGUCUGUGCACGUGUUUAUCUCGCAACUCAAGUAUGUGUUUGGCCUCCAUCUAAGCAGCCGCUCUGGACCGCUGUCCCUCAUCUAUACAGUACUGGAGGUCUGCUGGAAGCUGCCCCAGACGGUGGUCGGUACCGUGAUCACUGCCAUCGUGGCAGGAGUGGUGCUCGUGCUGGUGAAGCUCCUGAAUGAAAAGCUACGGCGACAUCUGCCCAUGCCAGUCCCUGGGGAGCUGCUCACGCUCAUCGGGGCCACAGGCAUCUCCUACGGCGUGGGCCUGCAGCAGGCAUUUGGGGUGGACAUCGUGGGCAAAAUCCCCGCAGGGCUGGUGCCCCCGAAGGCCCCCCACCCCCAGCUGUUCGCAAAGCUUCUGGGCAAUGCCUUCGCCAUCGCUGUGGUCGGGUUCGCCAUUGCCAUCUCGCUGGGCAAGAUCUUCGCCUUGAGGCACGGCUACCGGGUGUACAGCAACCAGGAGCUGGUGGCUCUCGGCCUCAGUAACCUCCUUGGGGGCAUCUUCCAGUGUUUCCCUGUGAGCUGCUCUAUGUCUCGGAGCCUGGUGCAGGAGAGCACCGGGGGCAACACCCAGGUGGCUGGAGCCGUCUCCUCCUUCUUCAUCCUCAUUAUCAUCAUCAAACUGGGAGAACUCUUCCAAGACCUGCCCAAGGCGGUCCUGGCCGCCGUGGUCAUCGUGAACUUGAAGGGCAUGGUGAUGCAGUUCACCGACGUGUUCUCCCUCUGGAAGGCCAAUCGAAUGGAUCUGCUCAUCUGGGUGGUGACCUUUGUGGCCACCAUCCUGCUGAAUCUGGACCUCGGCCUGGCAGUGGCAGUAGUAUUCUCCCUGAUGCUAGUAGUGGUCCGCACCCAGAUGCCCCACUACUCUGUCCUGGGGCAGAUGCCAGACACAGAUAUUUACAGAGACCUGGCAGAGUACUCAGGGGCCAGGGAGGUCCCAGGCGUGAAGGUCUUCCGUUCCUCAGCCACCGUGUACUUUGCCAACGCCGAGCUUUACAGUGACUCAUUGAAGCAGAGGUGCGGUGUGGAUGUGGACUACCUCCUCUCCCAGAAGAAGAAGCUGCUCCGGAAGCAGGAGCUGAAGCUGAAGCGACUGCAGAAGGAGAAUAAGCUCCCCAAACAGGCUGCUGCCUCCAAGGGCACGUCCAUCUCCAUCAAUGUCAACACUACUGUCGUGGACAUCGAGAGCAACAAUGAUGUGGAGGGCUCCAAGGCCAAGCGUGUCUGGUUCCCCAGGAGGCGAGCACAGGGACUGAGCUAGAGGAAACAGGAGCCUGGGCUCCAGAAGAUGCCAAAGCCUCAGACAUGUCCUCGCUGAAGGCCCUAGGCCUGCCUCAGCCAGAUUUCCACACCCUCAUCCUGGACCUGAGCUCCUUCUCCUUCGUGGACACUGUGUGUCUCAAGAGCCUGAAGAAUAUUUUCCGUGACUUCCGGGAGAUCGAGGUGGAGGUGUACAUGGCCGCCUGCCACGCUCCCGUGAUCAAGCAGCUUGAGGAUGGGCACUUCUUCGACGCUUCUGUCACCAAGCAGCAUCUGUUUGCCUCGGUCCAUGACGCUGUCCUCUUUGCACUCCAACAGCAGAGGUCCAGCCCCGUCAACCCUGUUUUGGUUACCAAACUCUGACCAUGCUGCCGUUCCGCCUGAGACUAUCUGCCUCUGCAGGUUUGGCAGGGUACCUGUGAGAAACCCCACAACCCUGGGCUGCCUCCGGACGUCACCAGGAGUCCCCUCCGUGCACGCACACUCACACACAUAACUCAGGGAUGGAGGUCCUGGGACUCCAAGUUCAGUGCUCUAGGCUGGGGAUGAGACACUGGCCAAGUUGGAGGAGCAAGCGUGUUUUUAACCUCAGGAAUAAAGAUUUGUUUGCCUGAUA